UUGAGAGGACUUCAUGGUGAGAGACAACAUACAUCAAAGUUCAGCCUGGGAGCUUGCUGCAGAUGAUUUCACAACAACAGCAGAUGAUGAGACAGCCCUUUGUUGGGGUGUAACAGAGCUCCUCACUGAAUCCACAGCAGCAGAGCUGAGUGAACUCUGACGGCUACCCUGCUAUCAUGCUGCUUGGGCUAUGGAACUUGUGUGCUGGUAGGAGAAUCCCAUUCAGGAUCACAAAUCUCCUUUGACCCUGUGCUGCUGUUCACUGGGUGUCAAUGGAAGGGUGGAAGUUGAAGGACACUCUCCCUAAACAGGUGUCUGAUUACAUGAACAAGCAGUGUAACCCAGCUGCAUUAAUAACCCACACUUUGCCGCAGUGAAGGAUUCGAACUGCUGUGAGCAGGGAAAAGUAUUCGCAGCAUCUUGUUGUUUUAUGAAGAGUAGAGUGUGGGGCAGCACAUCGCUUCUCCUCCAGAAUCAUCUGUCUGACUCCUUCCCCUUAGUCAAAACUUUUGUUAGUGUGUUGAUUUUACAAUCUUUGCUUCUGGAGCUCUGUAAAUAGGGUUUAUCUGAACCUGGAAACAUCUGAAUAGAUUGAGGAAUCAUUUUUGUUUUGGAUUAAGAAUUCAAACCUCCAUCCAUAGCUUCAAGGUAUGUGAAAGAGAGCAGGGCAUGUAGGAAAAUGGUUAUUCUGGAGAUGAGUCCACUUCCAAGUUAUUCGGAAUUAAACUAAAUUAACCAUUCCAUCAAGUAAUUACUAUAGCUCUCAUGGAACCUCUCCCAGUAUGCUCCUCAGGUCCAUUGUCUGCCUUCUUGUAGUUGCUUUUUAAUCAAGGCUCCUCUGCCUCUUUCUGGAAUCCACAAUUUGGUCAAGAGGAAGUACCAACCAAGCUGCAAACAACAGCACAUAACUUGAGUGCGAUACACAGAGAGCUUCUACUGAAACAAAGAUGUAAUCCGAGAAGACAUUUAUCAAGUGGACAGAGGAACACUUUUGCUAGCAUGGA